AGCGAACGCUGGCGGCAGGCCUAACACAUGCAAGUCGAACGGAUCCUUCGGGAUUAGUGGCGGACGGGUGAGUAACACGUGGGAACGUGCCCUUUGGUUCGGAACAACUCAGGGAAACUUGAGCUAAUACCGGAUGUGCCCCUCGGGGGAAAGAUUUAUCGCCAUUGGAGCGGCCCGCGUCUGAUUAGCUAGUUGGUGAGGUAAAGGCUCACCAAGGCGACGAUCAGUGGCUGGUCUGAGAGGAUGAUCAGCCACAUUGGGACUGAGACACGGCCCAAACUCCUACGGGAGGCAGCAGUGGGGAAUCUUGCGCAAUGGGCGAAAGCCUGACGCAGCCAUGCCGCGUGAAUGAUGAAGGUCUUAGGAUUGUAAAAUUCUUUCACCGGGGACGAUAAUGACGGUACCCGGAGAAGAAGCCCCGGCUAACUUCGUGCCAGCCGCCGCGGUAA
rnacentral:rRNA from 1 species